CUUCCGGGGGUGAUAGAAGCGAAAGGAACGUCCGCAAAGGAAGCGACUGGCGUUUGACGCCUUGUAGAAAAACAGAGGAAAACGAAGUUCCCAAAGCGGGUCACGAUUGGUCGCACUUCCUGUGACGUCAAAUGGCAGAGGCCAAAGGGAGUCUUAGGGCAGUUUCGAAGGAAAGAGACAAGGCAGCCCGACGUCCGUUACACAAAGCAGACGAGCUACCGCGCAUAGAUUCCUGCCGCAUCACGGAGCAAAGAAGCCCAGACAUUCCCGGACCCUCCAGCCAGGCCUGUCAGCACCGAAGCCAUAAAACUGAAAACCAAACACCACGGUGGACAAAGAAUAUCUCCACGUCCCUGUGGGGACCAGUGAUGCUAGAGCCUGACCUCUCCUGCUUCUCAUCUUGGCACUUCAGAAGUUCCCCAACCUGAUUGGCACAGCCCUGGGGAAGGAAGAGGGCCUCUGUUGAUAAGAUUAUUGUCACUGCAUUCAGUGGAGGUCUUGAAAAAGAAAUAAAGCUCAGUUACAGAAUGA